UACGAAGGGGGCUAGCGUUGUUCGGAAUUACUGGGCGUAAAGCGCGUGUAGGCGGGCCGUGAAGUUGGGGGUGAAAGCCCAGAGCUCAACUCUGGAAUUGCCUUCGAUACUGGCGGCCUGGAGCAUGAUAGAGGCGAGUGGAAUUGCGAGUGUAGAGGUGAAAUUCGUAGAUAUUCGCAGGAACACCAGUGGCGAAGGCGACUCGCUGGAUCAUUGCUGACGCUGAGACGCGAAAGCGUCGGGAGCAAACAGG
rnacentral:rRNA from 1 species